GGAGAGGUGUCCGAGUGGUUUAAGGAGGCGGUCUUGAAAACCGCUAAGGGUGCAAGCUCUUCGUGGGUCCGAAUCCCACCCUCUCCGCCC
rnacentral:tRNA from 11 species